CCUACGGGAGGCAGCAGUGGGGAAUAUUGCACAAUGGGGGAAACCCUGAUGCAGCGACGCCGCGUGUGGGAAGACGGUCCUCUGUAUUGUACACCACUGUCCCCAGGGACGAAGAUGACGGUACCUGGGGAGGAAGCUCCGGCUAACUACGUGCCAGCAGCCGCGGUACUACGUAGGGAGCGAGCGUUGUCCGGAAUUACUGGGUGUAAAGGGAGCGUAGGCGGGACUGCAAGUUGGGUGUCAAAUCUACCGGCUCAACCGGUAGCCGCACUCAAAACUGCAGUUCUUGAGUGAAGUAGAGGAAGGCGGAAUUGCUAGUGUAGCGGUGAAAUGCGUAGAUAUUAGGAGGAACACCAGUGGCGAAGGCGGCCUGCUGGGCUUUUACUGACGCUGAGGUCGAAAGUGUGGGGAGCAAACAGGAUUAGAUACCCGUGUAGUC
rnacentral:rRNA from 1 species